rnacentral:lncRNA from 10 species
CCACUGCCUGAGGUCAGGAAGCUGCAGGUAGCAGGGGAGCGGGUUGGCCCAGGCCUCUCUGGCUGCCAAGGCAGGAGCGGUCCCCGUGUGCCACCUGGGUGUUGCUGGACCUUGGACAGUGUGGCCAGAGGAUCCGGAAGGGGUGAGGAAACCGGGGCGUGGAGAGGCUGUGUUACUUGCUCAAGGUCACAUUACUAGCAAGUUCCAGAUCAAGAUGCAUCCCCAGGCAGUCUGGCUCCAGACUCCGUGCAUUUACCUGCAGAACCCCUCUCCAGCCAGCAUCUGACCUGUGGCCCAGGAGUGUGCACCCUCUGGCAGGGACAGGAGGUCUAAGGUCUCAAAUGGAUUUACCAGCAAAGCCAAGACUCUAGCCCAAGUGCCUGGAUCCCAUUUCAGAGUCUGUCCCAUCAGAGCACACAGCCAGGAAGUUUCUAGAAAGGCGGGAUUGUGCCUUGAGCCUGCCCAGCUCGGCACUCAUGACAAAGCCUGGCAUAUAGUAGGCUCUUUGGAAAUGUUUCUGUGCCAAAGAAGGAAAGAACCAUCCAGAAGGCAGGUAGACCCUGAGGGCCAGGAGGAUGCUCGGACCUGGGGAAAGGCCUGGAAGGAGAUGCUCGAGCCUGCCAACACUGGGAGGUGGGGAUCAAUGACCAGCUGACACAACGCUACGUCACUUGUUCCAAUGUGCAUUUGUUAUUUUGUGUUUUGAAAAAGCGAGUAAGAAAAUCUUGAAAUGAAAAAGAGAUUGAAUAAACAAGUACUUUAAUGACAACA